GUGAAUCAUCAAAUUUUUGAACGCAAAUUGCACUCUCUGGUAUUCCGGAGAGUAUGCCUGUUUGAGGGUCAUUUUAAAUAAAAAUCGGUGUGGUUGCUGCCUUUCGUGGUGACGCACCGGAUUUGGGUCGUCUUGCCGUCGGUUAAGUGACCUAACGUGUGCCAUGAUUUUUUUCUAGCUUAGUUAGACUAGUGUACGUACGUUGGCGAUAUCGAAUACUAGGUGGGUUCAUCCUGAUGAUUGGCGCCUAAA
rnacentral:misc_RNA from 1 species